GGCUCUUUGGCGAUGUGGUCAGCGCAUGUGACUCUUACCCGGAAGUCGGGGUUCAAUCCCCCGCCCGGGCCA